rnacentral:rRNA from 1 species
GCCAGCAUCCAUAACACUCUGCAACUCACAACUGGCAGCCCACUGAAGCUCAGCAGGUAUGAGCCUGGCCAGUACCUGGAUGGGAGACCUCCUGGGAAAAACUAAGGUUGCUGCUGGAA